UUCGAUAGUGAUUUUCUAAUAAAGUCAAGGGGAUUUUUUCAGGAUUGAAAAUAAUGGGAAUCAGUUCUGUGAAGCAAUAAGUGUGUCGUUGACCCAGUUGAACAAACUGGGAUGCACAAGAGCAGAUUCCCAGAAGGUUUGUGUUUGUCCAGCUAACCAAGGGUUAGAUGUAUUCCUGACAGCUACAGAACAGGUAAGGACAUGAGGUACAUCAUAGUAACAAUCUGGGUAUUGUUUUUGCUGAAAGGUAUUCUAUUCAGCCACUUCAGAAUUAUUUUGAUAACCAAUGAAACAGAUGUGCCAAAAUGUCUGACUUCAGUGAAGUGUUUGAAAAUCAGUGGCAGUGUGUGUGUGUGUGUGUGUGUGUGUGUUUGUGUGCAUGUCUGCAUGCAAACACGCAGUUGUAGAUGAUAGUGUAUAUUAAUGAAUUAUAUACUGAGUGAUGUCUUGCUUCUAUGUUUUGGAAUGCAGUUUUAUCAGUAGUUUUCAAUCUGUGAAGUCUAUGUUUUUACAUGAAUGUCUUGUUUAUGGCAUUAUUGCAGUACAGUAUGUCUGUAGAAGUAGCUGCGGCUGCUCCUGUGGCUGCUCCUGCGGCCUUAAGUAGCUGCCCUACUUACAGAGGAAAUGCAUAAGUGACAUCAAUCAGGUCGCUGCUCCUCUGGGAGAUGCGAUUAAAAAACUAAAAUCACAAGCAUGAAGAAUCUGGGAUAUCAUAAAUCAUAUUUUACAUUCCCACCCCUUUCUUCACCGGGGGGGGGGGGGGGGGUAUGGACCGCCACCGUUGUCUGAUGUCCCCUGAUCCCACUCGGCUAAACACCCCCAUGGAAUGCGCCCGGCAUUCUGGGGCUUUGGAUUUAAUGAGAGCCCCGCUAGUGCAUGGCGUAUAGGGCUCAGCCGUGCAAUGGCGCAUUCGAGAAACGGCGGAGGCUUUCUGAGACGGAGCGCCGGCUGCCUCUCUAGCGAGAGAUGAAGGUUUAGUAAGCGGAAUACUGCCGAGAGAUGACACUGCUAAAAUUAACAUGCUGUCUGGUGAGCGGCGGGGUAAAAAUAGACGGCGGAGAGGAGGCGUGUUUGCGCGCAUCGUUAGCGGCCGUGCGCCGCUUCGAGGGCGACGCAGUAAAAAGAUCGCCUGCGCGCUUCUCGUCUGCAGGUACUUGUUGGAGUCGCAGUUCUUAACACCAAACUGCUGCUGUGCAGAGCAGCAGCGUUUAGGUUUUCACUGGAACUACUGAUAAACGGCACAACAUGGGCCUCGGCUGCGCUGUGCUGCUCUUGAGGCUGAGCAGAUGUGUUUCAGGAAGUUUAACAUGUUAUAAACUGCACUGACCGCAGUGUGUUAACACAGCCAAUGCAGUUUGUUCUCACGUCAAAUCUACAGAGUUAUCACUGAUGAGUGUGAACCAUCUUCAUACUUGAUAAUGUAAGCCGUCUGUUAUUUUUUUUUUAAAACAGGCGUUGGUGAUUUAGAUCCCUUAUUAGCCAUUUCCUCGCAGGUAGAGGCUUGCAGAACCAAGCGGAAGCUGACUCUCCUGGUAGCCUCACUCCCACCGCCCCCCCUUCUUAAGUGCAAGUCAGGCUCGCACCUCUUUGGAGGACUAUUGUUUAUUUUUACCAGCCCUUUAAUUGCACCCUUUGAGAGUGAGACUUCUGAGGCCACGAGCUGUUAAUGAAACUUACGGAGAGUGUCUCGCAGAGGUCCCAGCUCCUGACACUUCACUGUGGGGAAACCAGCGGUGAUGUGAGGAGAAACAAAGGCGCCGCUUCAUCCCCGGGACAGAAGACGUCCCCUCUGUCCUCUGUCGGGGGCGGGGUGGCGACGCUCGGUAGGGCCAGAGCCCCUGUGGUCUGGACGCCCUGUGACGGGAGCAAGCAGCUGUUUCCCGGCGCUGCUGCAGCUUGGCGCGUCUGUCCGGAAGUUUCCGCGCAGGGUUGCCACGGUGCGCUGCUGGCGGAGCGACGGGCCGCCGCUGAGCCUGAGUCGCCAAGUGCGGCCUCCCUGAACUGCUGCUUCAGACGCCCUGCCUGCCUUCUCCUACAAAAGCACUAAGGCCAGAGAGACAGCCAACCGCCAGAUUCCUCUGCCUCACAAUCAUGUUUAAAAACAUUUUUAGAAAUCAGAAAUUAAACCACUUGAUUUAGGAGUGAGGUCUACUUCACUCAAAAAUAGCUCAUUUGUAUUAAUGCCAUCAUAGUGCAUGGAGUGUGUAAUGCUUGGAAGCAAUGAAACAGUUCUGUUUGGGUGCCUCA